AAUGAGGGGAGCUCAAACAGAGGAGACGAACAGGGAGCUAAAGGCAUGAGACAGGUGAGGAGAGGAGCAGCAGAGGAGGAGAAAAAGUGAGGGAAGCAGAGGAGAAGGAGGAGGAGGAGGAGGAGGGAGGAUGAGUGGAGACAGCAGGGCACUGGGUACGCCGUGUCCUUAAAAAGCCUCAGAGGAAGUGGAGGGAGAGGCAGGGAUGAGAGGAGAGGAUGAGCAGUGCGGCGUGGCUGGGAAAGAGCUGUCAUGAUGGUGGCGUUACGAUGAAAAAUGAAAACCACAUCAGAGGAGUAAUUGAGCUGCUUUGGGACUCAGAGGCUUCUGCACCACGAUGAAAGAAAUAAGCUAUCAUGGCUUUCCAUCGGCACACACUCACAAACAACCUGAGUCAUCCGCCAGCAGCCUGGAGGAACCCGACCUUGUUUUUAAGCGAUGUGAUUCUGUGUUUUUUGGGAGACCGUUGUGUAACCUUGUUAACGCCGGGGCUCUGCAUGUGGGAAAUGUGUCAGAGCCCAGCAGAGAGCUGCGAUUGGCUCACAGGGCACACUCCCCCGCCGUCCAGCCCCCUCCCAUUGCCUCCAAACCUGGAGUGCUUAGACGCUCAGGCGUGGUCGCCAUAGCAACUGCCACUUCAGGAGGGUAGCCUCAUGUAAAUAUCCCCUUUUUCCUCUUUACCCACUCUCCUCCUCUACCCUGUGUUUUGGUCUCUUUGCGUCUAUCCCUCCUUUUCCAUCAUUCUUUUUGGUUGUUUGCCUUUUGCUCCUCUCUCCAACUUGACCUGUUUCACUCUAUUUUGGUGUCCGUCUCUUCCUUUUUAGGGCUGGUACAUGUCUUGUGGACAUAAAAGAUAAGAAGCAUCAACCUGUGUGAGUUAUGAGGGGGGUUUAAGGAAAAAAUACCCUCGGCUGUGUUUUUAUUGGCAAUUCCUUACCUUAAAGUUUCCACAUGAACCUCAUUUUAGUCUUUACACCAAAUAAAAAUCUCUUCUGUCAUAAGAA